CCUCCUUUAAACUGUUAAGUGUGCAGAAAGUAGUUAUUGCCUGCUGCCUUUCUACCUGCACCAUGGCAGGGGCAGUGAACCUUGCUAUGCAUUUGCUCACAGGGUGACACAGAAGUGCUGCUCACCUUCUUGCUGCUGUAAGAGCUGUGACGAGCUGCACUGCCAGCCCAGUGGUGCUGGGCUGUGUGCAUGCACGCAACUGCCAGCAACUCACUGCCUGAGGAGUUGAGGCAGAAAAGGGUAAGGCACUGGUGUAUCAUCAUUAUGGCUGUUAUACAGAGGAGGAGAAAAGAUAGAGAUGAAGUGGAUGGCCCGAGGUCACCCUGAGGAGCUGGAGUCACUGUAAGGAACUGGAUCCCCCAUUUAACUUACAUCUCCAUCCCACAGUGCUCAGUGUUAAAAAAACACACAUUUUGCAGAUUUAUUUUACAGUUUAAUUUCCUCAUGCUGCUAGAACAAUGCCAGUCUCUGGCCGUGCUUGCUCCAUGUAACUUCAAGGUCUCUGACAACUUGAGCAAACAAGGAAAACCACAAUCGAAGGAGAAGAGAACACUUUAUUGUCUGCUGUUGGCAGAUCACCCAAAGUCCCCUCCCAACUUAACAAGCAUUAAGCUUCAAUAAGACACAAGACACUUCAGAAAAAAACAUCGCCACAAGGCUAAUGAUGACAACAGCUGCCAGCAAACUUUCCAUUGCAAGCAAAAGGAAACAUGAAGGAGGAGAAGCCAAAGGGCUAUGGAAAAAAGGGCACCGAAAUGCAGUUAACGUCCAGCAGCAGGAUUGCAUUUGGCAACGCAUGCAUGCCUGUAAGCCAAACUUUCUCUGAUUAAAUGUUUCUGGCCAAAAAUCAGAAUUGGUAAGUAUAUUGCAUAUUGAACUCCUUUUCAAAAGCAUAAUGAGAAAGGAGGGGGAAUACUAUUCAGUUUAGGAAAACCUCGAUGGCACUGUAUUUUGAAACGUAGUUACUGAAAAACGUGGGAAGUGGUGGCUGACAGUGACAGGGCCCUAACCAGACUUUGCAAGAAAAAGUGGGCAAUACCACCAGGUGGCGCGUAAAGCCCAAAAUAAC